UGAACCCAGUGUGGAUUUGAGAAAGAUCAGACAUUGGAAAAGGGACAUGAACUCGAAUUGUUCCCAAAUCUCCGUUUGCCACCUUGUGGAGAGGUAAAACGCUUGUGGGAUCUUCUGAGGACUCUUUGCUAGUGGCAUGUAGUUUGUGGGUCAAAAUGAGACCAGUUUUGAAGAAUGCAAUCCAAGGGCGAGUAGACGGAAUUGAAGAAUGAAUUGGACCCAUGCUGGGUUCACAUCAGGACGCAAGGUGUUGUUCGCUUGUCCUCUGUCAACGUAACCUGGAGAAGCUGUUGCAACCACCAAGGGAGGGUGUUUCCUCAGGCCAAGAGCUUAUUGGGAGCUUAGGAGCUACUGACGACAGCAAGCUGCAGGGCAGUUCCCCAGACGAAGUCACCAGUGGAACCAGCCGGCCUGCUACCUGACACACAAGGUCAAGAACUG